UACGUAGGUGGCAAGCGUUAUCCGGAUUUAUUGGGCGCAAAGGGAACGCAGGCGGUCUUUUAAGUCUGGUGUGAAAGCCUUCGGCUUAACCGGAGUAGUGCAUUGGAAACUGGGAGACUUGAGUGCAGAAGAGGAGAGUGGAACUCCAUGUGUAGCGGUGAAAUGCGUAGAUAUACGGAAGAACACCAGUGGCGAAAGCGGCUCUCCGGUCUGUAACUGACGCUGAGGUUCGAAAGCGUGGGUAGCAAACAGG
rnacentral:rRNA from 1 species